UCUAUGCGUGACCAAGUUAGAAAAAUCGGAGUUUUCAUGACAGUAUACAUACUGUGAAGAAAUGUCACUUUGCGGAAAUUUUGAAGACUGCAAAACACCAGCGACUUUAGUCACAUUCUUAAGACUUGGGAUUCACCAUCAGUACCUUCAACGCUUGCAUCUUCAUCGCCAGGAGCACCAUUAGAACCUUCUGCCCUCAGCUUCUUCAUCGCCAG